GAGGCCUGCCUGCCCAGUGACAAACGUUCAACGGCCGCGGUAUCCUGACCGUGCAAAGGUAGCAUAAUCACUUGUUCCUUAAUUGGGGACUGGAAUGAAUGGCCUCACGAGGAUUCAACUGUCUCUUACCUCUAAUCAGUGAAAUUGACCUCCCCGUGAAGAGGCGGGGAUACAACAACAAGACGAGAAGACCCUAUGGAGCUUUAAUUUUCUGUCUUAACUACUAAAUAACUAACCCUACUGGGAUAAAAAAAAGAGAAAUAAGCCAGUAAUUUCGGUUGGGGUGACCUCGGAGAAUAAGACAACCUCCGAAUGAUUUUAACCAAGACAAACAAGUCAAAGUAUUAAAAAUCAAAUUGACCCAAUUCAUUUGAUCAACGGACCAAGUUACCCUAGGGAUAACAGCGCAAUCCUAUUCAAGAGUCCAUAUCGACAAUUAGGGUUUACGACCUCGAUGUUGGAUCAGGACAUCCCAAUGGUGCAGCAGCUAUUAAUGGUUCGUUUGUUCAACGAUUAAAGUCCUACGUGAUCUG
rnacentral:rRNA from 1 species